rnacentral:lncRNA from 1 species
CGCCUAAGACCACCACACUGUGGGAAGGCCAAGGCCCGUGUAAUGAGGUACCAUGUUCAGAGGAAGACCAAGGAGCACCAAGGAGGCAGCAGACUGAGUGGAGAGGAAUACGCAGGGGAUGCUGUGUGGUCAGAAUCAAGCUUCCCAGGAUGCUUUCUUCCAGUGUCACUCAAAGAAGCAGCAAGACUCUGUCUUAACGUGGCAUGCUGUUGCUAUUAUUUCCCUCGAAGCCAUGAGACCCUGGCUGAGAGCAGCGGCUGGGCAUGUGAGUUAACAUCGCAUGCUUUCCUGACUCCACUGCCCCACUCACAGGUCAUAGCAUAGCUUCUUGCACUUGUCCUUCUCUGAAUGGAAGCCACUUGGAUCCUCCAGGUGUUUCUCCAUGGGGCAGGGCUUUCAGCACAGAAUCAACAGGACAAACCAUCUGGAAAGCCCAGAGGCGUGUUCGGCAGCAUGUGGGAGCAGAGCUGCAGUAAACGGUGGCUCCUUGUUCGCCCAUCUCAGCUGUUCAGCUGACUUCUUGCCGUCUCCAGCUGUCUUCUCUAUCUCAUCCUGAUGACUCCUUCCCACAACUCUUUCCCUGGCUGCCGCACUGGUCCAGCUGCAGCCUGCAUUCACAGUUACUUACCUGUGGGGCUUUCUUGUUUCCGAGAUGGCCGAAUUGUCUUCUGAAAUUUACCUCCAUGACUCUGGUUAUAUAUUUUGGUUCCUAGUGGGUGCCGACAUCACAGUGGGCUGAUUAGAUGGUUUGCAUUACUUGUUGGCAGGCCUUCGAGCCUCCUGUGCAGUUUCCCGAAAAUAUUCCAUCUGCAGGUGGGAAGC